CGCGUAGGCGGCUUUAUAAGUCUGGAGUGAAAGUCCUCUUUUCAAGGGAGGAAUUGCUUUGGAAACUAUAGAGCUUGAGUGCAGGAGAGGUUAUCGGAAUUCCCGGUGUAGCGGUGAAAUGCGUAGAUAUCGGGAGGAACAUCGGUGGCGAAGGCGGGUAGCUGGACUGCAACUGACGCUGAGGCGCGAAAGUGUGGGGAGCAAACA
rnacentral:rRNA from 1 species